NNUGGUAGAGCAGUUGACUUUUAAUCAAUUGGUCGCAGGUUCGAAUCCUGCACGACCCACCA
rnacentral:tRNA from 3 species